AUUGAACGCUGGCGGCAGGCCUAACACAUGCAAGUCGAGCGGAGCGGCGGACGGGUGAGUAAUGCCUAGGAAUCUGCCUGGUAGUGGGGGAUAACGUCCGGAAACGGGCGCUAAUACCGCAUACUAUCAGAUGAGCCUAGGUCGGUGUAGCUAGUUGGUGGGGUAAAGGCCUACCAAGGCGACGAUCCGUAACUGGUCUGGGAGGAUGAUCAGUCAAACUGGAACUGAGACACGGGCCAGACUCCUACGGGAGGAAGCAGUGGGGAAUAUUGGGCAAUGGGCGAAAGCCUGAUACAGCCAGGGCGCGUGUGUGAAGAAGGUCUUCGGAUUGUAAAGCACUUUAAGUUGGGAGGCGUUACCCGCAGAAGAAGCACCGGCUAACUCCGUGCCAGCAGCCGCGGUAAUAC
rnacentral:rRNA from 1 species